UAUGGCCACAUCAUGUUGAAACACUAGUUCCCAUACAUCCACUGAAGUUAAGGAAUGUUGAGCCUGGUCAGUACCUAGAUGGGUGAUUACUUGGGAAAACCAGGUGCUGUGA